UACGAGUGGUGCAAGCGUUAUUCGGAAUCAUUGGGCGUAAAGGGUGCGUAGACGGUUAAUUAAGUCUGCAGUUAAAUUCCUCGGCUUAACCGAGGGCAUGCUGUGGAAACUGAUUUGCUAGAGGGUGAAAGAGAGAAGUGGAAUUCUCGGAGUAGCGGUAAAAUGCGUAGAUCUCGAGAGGAACACCGAUGGCGAAGGCAGCUUCUUGGUUCACACCUGACGUUGAGGCACGAAAGCGUGGGGAGCAAACAGG
rnacentral:rRNA from 1 species